GUCUUUUCAAGAUAAUUUUCAGCCAAUGAGACCAGUGGGUGCGGUCAAUUAUUACGUCAUUAUAAUCGCUGCAUUCCAUAGAACGUUCGGUGAGUAGUCUAUAAAUAUGAGUGCAGAUGCAUCAUGCGUUUUGUAGCGAGUUUUGGCGAGUGAUCGUGAGUAUGCUCUUUACAUCUAAAUUAGAUUUUUUUGUUUAAUAUUUUAAUAACUUAGAGAAAAAUCUGCCUUGUAAUAAAUAAACAUGUGUGCUACACAGUGGAGGUCCGUCAUGGAGACUGAUAUAUAAAUUAAUAAUGAUGAAAGCUAUAUGACUGAUUUGAGUAAUAAGAUUUUUGAACAUAUAGUUUACAACAUUUUGCAGUAAAUCAAAGGAACAAAUCUUGUGGUGCCAAAUACAGACUAUGACCGUUUUAAACAUUUAUUCAUAAAUAUAGAGCUCUGUAGACAAAAUCCACCCCUCCUUUAUUAUGAUAAAUUCUGAAUACUGAAAGCUUUAAUAGUUUAAUAGUUAUCUCUUACAAUGAUCAUAAGGAGGUAUACAUUUACAUUAUAAGCAUCUGAGUUCUGCACAUUAAUUGGUAAAAUAAUAUUAAUAAAAACUCCACUUGUGGACCCCCACUGUGCAUGGACACUGUAAAACUGUACCUGUAAAAGAAAAAGAACUAACAUCACCAACCUCCAGGCUCUUAAAUGUUUACUAUUAUAUAUCGAUUGCCUUUCUCUUUUCUGCCACAGUAUUUUACAGAUAUAAAGACAAAGGCAGUAUUGUUCAUUUCUUUGAUUAUAUUUCACCAUCGAAUCACACAUCAGCAUGACUAUGUCAACCAUCCCCACCAGUUUUGUUGAGAGUGCAGUGCAGUCCUCAUCUUCUGAGCUCUUAGAUGAGCUCACCACUGCCCUCGCUGCAGGACGGUGGUGGGCAAUAAUGGAGGUCUCCUCUCCUUUAUCUGAGGAGCCUGAAUAUGGGGACCUCACCUCACUCAGGUCCCUGUACUCAAGCUUCUCAGAUGCAACACUGAGUGCACCCAUACCUCCCAGGUCCCAAAAGGGAGCACCUGUGCCUGCCUAUGCUGAGAAGAGGGACCACACCUCGUCCCUGGUCUUCAACAAUGCAUCGGAGAAGGCUGAGUCUCUGCACUCAGGCUUCUCAGAUGCAAAGCUGAAGACCACGGAGCAACAGAGGAAGUGGAGGCAGAAGAAGCCUCAGGGACCACCUUUGCUUGCUGGGUCUGAGAAGGCUGAGUGUGGGAACUCACUGAAGACCACUAAGCAGGUGAGGCAAGAGUGGAGACAGAAGAAGCCUCAGGGACCACCUGUGCUUGCUGGGUCCGAGAAGGCUGAGUGUGGGAACUCACUGAAGACCACUAAGCAGGUGAGGCAAGAGUGGAGACAGAAGAAGCCUCAGGGAGCACCUGUUCCUGGUGGCUCCCCCCAGGGACAUCCUGUGCCCACUGGGUCCCAACAACGUGGAAAACUCAGGAUCCCUGAGCAUCUGAGGCAGCACCUGCUACAGGCCGCUAAUGAACUGGGAGCACCUGUGCCUGCAAGGUCCCCACAGGGAGCACCAGUGCCUUCAAAGUCUCUACAAAGGGAACCUGUGCCUGUCUCAAAGGUGCAAAAAUUAAAGAUCCCUGAGCCACUAAGGCAGGAGCUGCAGCAGCAGAUGCCUCAAGCCUCUUCUGACAAGGGAGCACCUGUACCCAACAAGACCCCAGAGAGGCAAAGGCUAAAAAUCCCUGAGCCACUGAGGCAGGAGCUGCUGCAGCUGUCGCACCGAGCCUCAUCUGUAAAGGGAGAGCUUGUGCCUCAAAAGAGCCAGGAGAAGCAGAGGCUCAAGAUACCUGAGCGGCUAAGGCAGGAGCUGCUGCAGGUGUCACCCAGAGCCUCAUCUGAGAAGGGAGCACCUGUACCCAACAAGACCCCAGAGAGGCAAAGGCUAAAAAUCCCUGAGCCACUGAGGCAGGAGCUGCUGCAGCUGUCGCACCGGGCCUCCUCGGUGAGGGGGGGACUUGUGCCCCAAAAGACCCAGGAGAAGCAGAGGCUUAAGAUACCUGAGCCGCUGAGGCAGGAGCUGCUGCAGCUGUCGCACCGAGCCUCAUCUGUGAAGGGAGAACUUGUGCCCCAAAAGACCCAGGAGAAGGAGAGGCUUAAGAUACCUGAGCCGCUGAGGCAGGAGCUGCUGCAGGUGUCACCCAGAGCCUCUUCUGAGAAGGGAGAGCUUGUGCCUCAAAAGAGCCAGGAGAAGCAGAGGCUCAAGACACCUGAGCAGCUGAGGCAGGAGCUGCUGCAGUUGUCAGUCAGAGCCUCUUCUGAGAAGGGAGCACCCGUGCCCAUAAAGACUGCAGAGAGGCAAAGGCUUAAAAUACCAGAGCCGCUGAGGAAGGAACUGCUCCAGCAGAAACCUCAAGCCUCUCCUGCAGAUGGUAAACUCCUGUCUUCCAAGUCCCCACAGGAAGUACCUUUACCUGACAGGAACCCUGUACAUACCGGGACCUCACAGGGAGCAGGAGUGCUUGCCAGUUCUCCACUGCCCACUGGGUGUCUGAAGGAAGCAGCAGUGCCCACCAGAACCACAAAGGCAGGAAAACGGAGGCUUGCUGAGCAUCUGAGCAUGCCUGUCUCUUCCACCCAGGGAUUACAUAUGCCCUCCAGGACCUCAAAAGUGGCGCCUGUGUAUUCUGGGACCUUACAGGGAGCACUUGUGACAAGAAGCUCCCCACGACAGGGAGCAAACCCUAGAAUCACAGAGCAGCAGAAGCAGAAGCGGAGGGAGCAGUGGAGACAGCAGCAGAGACAGCGGAGGCAGCAGAAGGCAUCAGUAAGUUCUUUCCAUUUCUGA
ensembl:lncRNA